GCACAGAGUUAGCCGUCCCUUCCUCUUCCGCUACAAUCAGCUCACCGGUUGUUAACCGGUAAGGUUUGUUCGCAAAUGACAGGGGUUUACGGGCCGAAGCCAUUCAUCCCCCACGCGGCGUCGCUCCAUCAGGCUUUCGCCCAUUGUGAAAAAUUCUCGACUGCUGCCACCCGUAGGUGUCUGGACCGUGUCUCAGUUCCAGUGUGGCUGGUCGUCCUCUCAGACCAGCUAUCCGUCUUAGCCUUGGUGAGCCGUUACCUCACCAACUAGCUGAUAGACCGCGGGCUUAUCAAGAAGCGCCAGGCCUUACGGUCCCCAACUUUGAACUCCAAGAGAUGCCCCUCGGAAGUCACAUCCGGCAUUAGCUCGCCUUUCAGCAAGUUAUUCCAGACUUCAUGGCAAAUUACCCACGUGUUACGCACCCUUGCGCCGCUGAACAACCAGAAUAUUGCUACCCUGAUUAUCCCGCUCGACUUGCAUGUCUUAUCCACGCCGCCAGCGUUCGUU
rnacentral:rRNA from 1 species